GAUCCCAUUACGGCCGCGCCGCUUCUCUCAGGAGGAGCGAGGUCUGGGUGGGAUGGUGUCGCCAGCCCCGGGGUGAUGCGUGGGCGAAGCGGGAUUGUGUCACUCGCUCCCCCGGAGUGAACUAAUGGGCCACGACUCAGCGAGUGCAACCCCCGCGUUAUCCCAUCCGCCUGGGAGGAGCCGCUCCGUCACAACAUGGCGGGCACUGCCGCGUCACGGCCCGCCCAGGCUGUCACGGCGCUGUCGCGGGUCGGGCGGGCCGGGGAGAUCGCGGGCGAAGAGCUGCUGGUGUGGUGCAGAAUUACCUGUGCUUAAGGUGUAGGUAGAGAUGGAAAUUGUGGUCAUGACAUGGACAAUAUUUACAUGACUAUUUCCCUCAAAGUGCUGUCCAGAAUUGAUAAAGGCUCAAGAGCAGACUUUGAUUUCUGGAAACCCUAUUACUGACUUCCUUCACCAAAGGUUCUUAAAGAGACUUGGUUGCCAUGGAAGAUUAACGUAAAUCCUUAUUAAAAACAGAAUAAGGAAUAAAAGGUUUUUACAGUAAAAUCCCACAUAGUUCUGUGCUGGGAUUUGCACUGUUGAGCAUGCUCAUUUUAGUUUUUUAGUAUUUUUGCUCUUUUAUAAUUUCUACUAGUUUUUGCUUAUAUUACCCCUCUUUAUUUCCUUACAGGUUCCAUAAUUUGAUGUCCUUUCCCUCUCAGGCAGUGUCGUAUCCCAACAUCAGUCGCUUCCUGCCAGUGUAAAACCCGGGAAGCCGGUGAGGGUGAGGCCCAGUGAGGUGACCAGAGUCAGGUACAGUCCUGUGACCACCAGGCAGGUGCACAGUGACGAGGCAGCUCUGAGGCCAAGGUGGGAAUUCAGUCCACAGGGCACGGUCCACAUCCAUGGGGUCCCUGGACAGGCACAGGCACGACUGUGACACUGCUGCACCCAGGGCUGAGGUGGAACAGAAGGGAUGGGUGGAGGCACCAGGUGAGGCUCAGGGUUGCUCCUCUUUCAAAAGCAUCCAGAAAUUAUUAUUCCUAAGGGAUGGCAGUGCAGGAAAGGUGUUAUUGAGAGUGUGGCUGGUGCAGGGAGCAUGGCUGAGAUCCGUGUAAAAACAAGGCAGGCUGUGCAGGUCUGGUAAUCUGGGAUUAUGUCAGGAGAGAUCGGCUCACCCAUGUGCUCCUGGCUGCUGCAUCCAGGUCAGACGGCUGGCUCGGGUGAGGGAGCACUCACCCAGACAAACUAGUGUCAGCACACAGCAAGGGUUUGUCUGAACCUGCAGAGAAAUAAAAUACAGCUGCAGACAGAUCUGUGCAGCUCUUCCACAUUUUUCAGGGCACAUCAGGAACACCACAGCACUGUCCAGCCAUGCCGGGAGCUCAGCCGUGGGGCAGAAGUGUAACAAAGGGAUCUCUGUGCCUGAUGCAGAAUAAGGUGGUUUGGGUUUAUUUUUUAAGCCUGGUUGGAGAUUUCUUCAUGAGCUGCAGCUUUUGUGAAUGUCUGUCAUCACAUUCUGGGUUAGUGCCAAUCAAGGAUUAUGACCUAUAUUAACAUCCUAGAAACUGGGCAGGCCAGCCAGGACUCCACCUCAUGGCAGGACUGCAGCUCAGUCUCCUGAUGUCUGAUAUCCACUGUUACUGCAUUUUAAAGUCAGGUUAAAUUACUUCUCACAAGAGGGACUUAUUUAAAAUGUGCCCACUCCUUUUGAUAGUGUAUCUCUUGCCUUCUUGACAAAGCAUCUGACAAUCUCUCAGUGAGGGCUAUUUAACUUUCUUAACAAAACAGAAGAAUGGCAUUUGCUACAAUUAUUUAACUGCUAUUCAUAAAAAUAAAAUAGAUUCCUAAGGGGUUGGUUUUAUGUUCAGUGACACUUACAUCAUCGUAUCCAGUAAUAUGAACAGUAUUCAGUUCAGACAUUACUUGGUGGCUUGCUCAAGAAAGCUCCAUAUCCAGACACUGGAAUUUUCCCAUACCUUUUGUGGCACAUAUGCAUCUCACUGGUAGUUUAAAAAUAGUGUUGUUGGAAAAUCCUAAUAUACAGGACUGGAUCUUAAAAGGGGUUUUCUAAGCACUUGGAAAGACAGACAUCAGGAUGUGAAAACACCAAACAGUGACCCUUAGUGGUUAGUUGUGUACCUUGCACGUUUCUUGCCAUUAGAAAACAUAAGAUAAAAAACAUUCCUCAGCUUUUCAGUCACGUUUAGCAGCUUGAUGGAUUUGAUUUAUGGAAGUCUGCACCUCCCAAGCAUCUUUCAAAGCUUUUUCAAAAGCUUUAGGAACAUCCCAUAAGCCCCGUGGUGUUCUGUGGUGCCGAGGCACGUUUGAAUUUUUCAGAUAUACAAACUAGAAACGAAUUCCCAAAAUGCGUGCAGUGAAUUAUUACACAAUACAAACUGAUUUGAUACGUGCUGUAUUCCCUGGGCCACACAUCCCUUCAUGUCCUGUCACAGUCUCUUACACCUUCCUGGCAUAAACACUCCCACUUCUUUUGAGUCAAGCUCUAUGUGUAUUGGAAGUUAUUCUGUUUCCAUGAAAAAGGCAUUGACUAUCUGUUUAUUCUCCACAUUUGGCCAAAUUAAAAUUUAUGGUAAUCAAAUGGAGUUUAUUCAACAUAACACCUAAAAAUCAUAAAAUAUGAAUUAAAAAGCCAUUAAUGUGAACUGUAGUUGUGUGACGUUCUCACUGCCUUGCUGGUCUCGUGCAGGUUUGUGUUUCCCAACUGCUUUUCCCUGCAGAUGCUCCAUAGUACUUUCCAGGUCAGUUAUACCCCGAGGGAAAUGGGAGCAAUGCCAUGAUGAUGAAUGUGAAAUUUUUCACUCUGUAACUGAAGUAUCUGUUUUGUAAAAUACUUUGAAUUAAUUUGGCUGUUCUAGGAGAUGAAAUUCGUUAGAAUCUGUUAUUAUCAAAACAGUAGGAAUUUGGGAUAUUUCAUAUAUUAAUUCUGAAAAUUAAUACCUUUUACAAGAGUAUAUUCAUUGAAGGAGUCUUGUAUUCAGGCUUUACUGAAAGGUGGCAAUAUUUUCACAGGGAAUAAGCAUCUUUCAAGUAUUUUCACAUUAGAUGGAAAUACUUUCAUCACUUGAGGCCCUUCUUGGAAGUCAUUCAACUAUGAGAACAUUUGCUUUAAAUAAAAGACUGUUUAAGCCAGUGGGAUUCCUGGAAUUCCUGAGCCGUUUAUGCUCUUCUUUACACUUUUCUUAGCACAUCUUAACUCACUGAACAUUUCCCUCUCCCCACAGAUUUAAUACUGGUAAGAAAUAGUCAUCUCAUUAAAACUAUGAAGGCUUGGGCUGGCAUUUCUAGUCUGUUUUAUGGUUAAUUUAGUUUUGACUGGAGUAGUUUCUGGGGUCCUUGGUUACAAACUUUCAGGUGCAGUUAUCUUAGCCCAUGUGAUACAGCGAGUGUGUGCAUGCAGAGUAAAAAUGCAUCCACACUUUCUACACAGAAUAAUAUUUAGUUUAUUAUAGCAGUUUCAGAAAAAAAUAGCAACUGCUUAUACAAAUAUUAUUUAGGGUUUCUCAUAUGUCAGUGAAAUAGGCAUUGAUAAACUUUAAGAGAAAAGAUGGAAAUAGAGCCACAGAGCCAAUAGCUGUGAUAGCUCAUUAAAUUCCAUAAAAAGCUAUACUGGAGACAAAGCAGGUCAGAGGUGGAAAACUACCUACCUGUGCUCAUAAAAGAGACCAGGUCUUGGAAUUGUACCUUUUGGCCCUGUACAGCAGGAAAGUAAAUGGUUAACAUUUUAAGGAAUGAUCCGCUUCGAUUAUCUCAGGGCAACAGCUCAGAAUCAGGAACUUUUAAGAGCAG